AUUGAACGCUGGCGGCAGGCCUAACACAUGCAAGUCGAACGGUAACAGGAAGAAGCUUGCUUCUUUGCUGACGAGUGGCGGGCGGGUGAGUAAUGUCUGGGAAACUGUCUGAUGGAGGGGGAUAACUACUGGAAACGGUAGCUAAUAUCGCAUAACGUCGCUAGACCAAAGAGGGGGACCUUCGGGGCUCUUGCCAUCGGGUGUGCCCAGAUGGGAUUAGCUAGUAGGUGGGGUAACGGCUCACCUAGGCGACGAUCCCUAGCUGGUCUGAGAGGAUGACCAGCCACACUGGAACUGAGACACGGUCCAGACUCCUACGGGAGGCAGCAGUGGGGAAUAUUGCACAAUGGGCGCAAGCCUGAUGCAGCCAUGCCGCGUGUAUGAAGAAGGCCUUCGGGUUGUAAAGUACUUUCAGCGGGGAGGAAGAGAGUAAAGUUAAUACCUUGGCUCAUUGACGUUACCCGCAGAAGAAGCACCGGCUAACUCCGUG
rnacentral:rRNA from 1 species